UAAUCACACUUAACAGCUGUUUCUCACAUGUCUGAACAAUGUUCUCUCUUUUCUCUUAUUUUUCUCCACUGUACUGAAUGAAUGAAUGAAUGAAUGAAUGAAUGAACCAGUGAUGGUGGAAAUGGGGCCUUCUGCAUCUCUGGUCCUGUUUCUGCUUAUUCCUUGUCUCACUAUAACCCCAGGUGUUUCUGGUCAGUUGACGUGGGUGACUAUGACUCAUAACAGUAUCUGUGCUGUGACUGGAUCAUCAGUGGAGAUGCCCUGCUCUUUCACUCAUCAGCAUAAACCUGAUCUCAUAGUCAAUAAAGUCUACUGGGGGAUUAAUGCCAAA